rnacentral:rRNA from 1 species
GAUGAACGCUGGCGGCGUGUCUAAUACAUGCAAGUCGAGCGAACAGAUAAGGAGCUUGCUCCUUUGACGUUAGCGGCGGACGGGUGAGUAACACGUGGGUAACCUACCUAUAAGACUGGGAUAACUUCGGGAAACCGGAGCUAUACCGGAUAACAUUUGGAACCGCAUGGUUCUAAAGUGAAAGAUGGUUUUGCUAUCACUUAUAGAUGGACCCGCGCCGUAUUAGCUAGUUGGUAAGGUAACGGCUUACCAAGGCGACGAUACGUAGCCGACCUGAGAGGGUGAUCGGCCACACUGGAACUGAGACACGGUCCAGACUCCUACGGGAGGCAGCAGUAGGGAAUCUUCCGCAAUGGGCGAAAGCCUGACGGAGCAACGCCGCGUGAGUGAUGAAGGGUUUCGGCUCGUAAAACUCUGUUAUUAGGGAAGAACAAACGUGUAAGUAACUGUGCACGUCUUGACGGUGCCUAAUCAGAAAGCCACGGCUAACUACGUG